AGCAGAGAGGAACUGAGGAGCUGGAUUUGAGGCACCAUAUAUCUGCUUUCAAAAGCUGGAAUUUACAAAGUAAAUAGAAGUUUCCUGUUUAAAACUCAUGUGACCAUUAGAGAUCUUACUCGAAAGUAGACAGGGUUACUAGGUGUAUCCCAUAUAAAACUCUUCCUCUGGAUAAUAGAACUGAGCAGAAGUACAUGACUCAGCCUGAGCAAGCUCUUAACAGAUAACACACUAAUCAACAGUUUCACCAAACUGCAGAUAUAAGCAGAAACCAUACCAGAUGGAAACUCCUAAUAGAAAGCAGAAAUAUUCAAAACAUGACUUGACCACGCACAAUUUGAUUCCCUUUUCACUUCAAAAAGGCAGCAAAUUGUAACACUGUAAGCUCUUUAUCUUUUAAAAAUGUAGUAUUUCAGUCUGAUAAGCUGCUAUCUGACCUAGAGGAAGGGAAUAAUUCUGAACCAUUACACCAAGAGCUUGUCCUCUAAAAAGGGAAGAAAGACUGCACUGGGGGUUUAGUGUUUGACAUUGUUAGUCUACACACAAUAUCUGAAAAGUGGAACAAGUCAUAUAAAGGCUUGCCAAGUAAACUGUAAGUUGGCACCCUCCAUACAUCGGGAAACCUGACAUUCAGUUUCACUGUGCUCAGACAGAACAAGCUACAUUUAAAAUCUCAAAUUUCCUAAAUCUGAUUCAGCAAACGAAGACACUGACUUCUCCAGUUUUAAUGCUUUUUGAACCCCCCCUUCAGCUCAAAAAUGUGUUUUUCUUCUUGUUCCUACAAGUUUGAGCUUCACUGUGUAGAAUGAUGUAUGAGAUGUUUGACAAUAGAACGCCUUUUUUCACCUGUCUCACCUGUAUUCAUCUGAUGAGGCGGCCCCCUACAAGCAUGACUUGUGACAUCAUAAAUAUUUCGGAAGGCAAUCUUGAUCCAAUAUUCAGUGUACAUAAGUAUGAUGUGGAAACUUUAAGCCUACAAUGCACAUAUACAUCAGGAAUGGACUUUACAGUGAAGUAGGAGACAUCGUGUUGUUCUGCAUGAAAAAUUGCCAACACAGAAAAGAUAUAUUUUUUAAUGGAAUGGGAAUAGGUUCCAUUUGAAGUAUCUUAUUGUGGCAAAUAUACUUUCUUUUCUGCAAAAACAUGUCACAUAACAGUAAGACGUGUUUUGUAUGUUUUCACCAGCAUAAACUCCACUUCUGUCAUCUUCCAUAGCUGACCAGAAUAUCUAGCGAACCUUCUGACAAUCUGAAGUUUAAAUGGUUGCUGUUAUUAAUCCCCUCUCGUGGUAAACAUACUUCUUUACAUAGCUCAGUGACUCUCUAAUAACUGGUUCCAACAUCUGUUCUUCAAAUUUUAGCUUUACUCAGUCUGCAGUCUAAAACUGCACAUGAGAAGCCACUAUUUACUCAAUAUAGCUACACAACUACAUGCUGGAAGAAAAUGAAGGAUGUGUUAACAAACACCAUCACUGCAGAACAACAGCAUUCAGAGAUUCAGACAAGAUCAUCUAUAAUACCCAACCUUGCAUUUUGUCCUUCUUAGGUUCAGAACUUUAUCUUAGAAGCCUUGGUUACUUCAAUACAGGAGCACAAGCCUAUCUUGGUAAAAGUGACCUCAGCAUGAAAAGCAUAUUUUCAGGCCACACUGAUGAGCCAAAAUUCCUGAAGCAGGCCUGGAUUGUCUGCAAUGUAACCAGUCAGCAAAACUGGAAGUUGAGGACGAAACUGGUUUAAGAAAUGCACAAAUGGAAAUUCACAAGGCCAGUGAUAAAUAGUGUAGAUGAAACAACUUUGACAACCACAGACAGAUUUACCAGUUUUGUUUGAGACUGGGCACCAUCCAAACACUGCAGUACCUGUUGACUCACAUCCGGCCCAGUGUCCCCAGAGCUAAACCUCCAUUAGUCACCAGUUUAUUUAUGUUACAAAGACACUCUGGAAUUUGUCAGCCUUAUCUUUCUUUGGUUUCAAGGACGAUCAAAGACACGUUACAGGACUCACAAAAACUGUAAAAGCAUGUGAAACUGCACAGUCAACGGCUGUUCUAAUGACACAGAACAAACGGCAACAAAGUAACGAACAACAAAUCUGUAAUUUAGAUGAGACAAAAUGAUCCAGUUUAAAAGCUUUAAUCUUG